GCACUAGUGGUUGAGUGGUAGAAUUCUUGCCUUCUUUGUGGGAGAUCCAGGUUCAAUUCCUGGCCAAUGCA
rnacentral:tRNA from 1 species